GAUGAACGCUGACAGAAUGCUUAACACAUGCAAGUCAACUUGAAUUUGGGUUUUUAACUUAGGUUUGGGUGGCGGACGGGUGAGUAACGCGUAAAGAACUUGCCUCACAGCUAGGGACAACAUUUAGAAAUGAAUGCUAAUACCUAAUAUUAUGAUAAUAGGGCAUCCUAUAAUUAUGAAAGCUAUAUGCGCUGUGAGAGAGCUUUGCGUCCCAUUAGCUAGUUGGAGAGGUAACGGCUCACCAAGGCGAUGAUGGGUAGCCGGCCUGAGAGGGUGAUCGGCCGCAAGGGGACUGAGACACGGCCCUUACUCCUACGGGAGGCAGCAGUGGGGAAUAUUGGACAAUGGACCGAGAGUCUGAUCCAGCAAUUCUGUGUGCACGAUGAAGUUUUUCGGAAUGUAAAGUGCUUUCAGUUGGGAAGAAAGAAAUGACGGUACCAACAGAAGAAGUGACGGCUAAAUACGUGCCAGCAGCCGCGGUAAUACGUAUGUCACGAGCGUUAUCCGGAUUUAUUGGGCGUAAAGCGCGUCUAGGUGGUUAUAUAAGUCUGAUGUGAAAAUGCAGGGCUCAACUCUGUAUUGCGUUGGAAACUGUAUAACUAGAGUACUGGAGAGGUAAGCGGAACUACAAGUGUAGAGGUGAAAUUCGUAGAUAUUUGUAGGAAUGCCGAUGGGGAAGCCAGCUUACUGGACAGAUACUGACGCUGAAGCGCGAAAGCGUGGGUAGCAAACAGG
rnacentral:rRNA from 1 species